rnacentral:rRNA from 1 species
UCUAGAGGCUUCGGCAAUGGGGGCAACCCUGACCGAGCGACGCCGCGUGUGGGAUUGAAGGCCUUCGGGUCGUAAACCACUGUCGGGUGGGAAGAAUGCCUGUAUGGUGAAUACAGGAGUGACGGUACCACUAAAGGAAGCCCCGGCUAACUCCGUGCCAGCAGCCGCGGUAAUACGGAGGGGGCAAGCGUUAUUCGGAUUUACUGGGCGUAAAGGGUGUGUAGGCGGUCGCGCAAGUCUGAUGUGAAAUCUUCACCGCUUAACGGGAAGAGGUCAUUGGAAACUGCGUGACUUGAGUUUGGUAGAGGCGAGCGGAAUUCCUGGUGUAGCGGUGGAAUGUGUAGAUAUCAGGAAGAACACCGGUGGCGAAGGCGGCUCGCUGGGCCAAUACUGACGCUGAGACACGAAAGCGUGGGGAGCAAACGG